CCUUGGCAUUGAUAGGCGAUGAAGGACGCGAAACCUGCGAAAAGCUUCGGUGAGCUGGAUAAAAGCUUUGACCCGGAGAUAUCCGAAUGGGGAAACCCAACCAGAGUAAUGUCUGGUUAUCCUUAACUGAAUACAUAGGUUAAGGAAGCGACACCUGCCGAACUGAAACAUCUAAGUAGGCAGAGGAAAAGAAAUCAAAUCAGAGAUUCCCAUAGUAGCGGCGAGCGAACUGGGAAGAGCCCAAACCGCUAUUUCUAAUAGCGGGGUUGUAGGACUCAUCACAAUGGCUAGCAAACUUUAGCAGAACAUUUCUGGAAAGUCAGGCGACACAGGGUGAAAGCCCCGUAUGCGAAAAAGCAAGCUAGCUAGAUGAGCACCUGAGUAGGGCCGGACACGUGAAACCCGGUCUGAAUCCGGAGGGACCACCCUCCAAGGCUAAAUACUCGUUAAUGACCGAUAGUGAACCAGUACCGUGAGGGAAAGGUGAAAAGAACCCCUGUUAGGGGAGUGAAAUAGAACCUGAAACCAAUAGCUUACAAACGGUCGAAGGCCUAUGCCCAAUUUUUUGGGAAUGGCUGACGGCGUGCCUUUUGCAUGAUGAGCCAGCGAGUUGCGUUAAAUGGCAAGGUUAAGGGACAUCGUUCCGAAGCCGAAGCGAAAGCAAGUCUUAAAAGGGCGUUAAGUCAUUUGGCGCAGACACGAAACCAAGUGAUCUAUCCAUGACCAGGUUGAAGCAAGGGUAACACCUUGUGGAGGACCGAACUAGUAACUGUUGAAAAAGUUUUGGAUGAGUUGUGGAUAGGGGUGAAAGGCCAAUCAAACUUGGAGAUAUCUUGUUCUCUUCGAAAUAACUUUCGGGUUAGCCUCGGACAGCCCUUUACAGGGGUAGAGCACUGAAUUCACGCGGGGGUCUACCGACCUACCAAAGGAAAUCAAACUCCGAAUACUGUAAAGUCGUCCGGGAGAUAGACAGCGUGGGAUAAGCUACGUUGUCAAAAGGGGAACAGCCCAGAUCGCCGAUUAAGGCCCCUAAUUCUAUGCUAAGUGAGUAAGGAAGUGGAGUUUCUAAAACAGUUGGGAUGUUGGCUUAGAGGCAGCCAUCAUUUAAAGAGUGCGUAACAGCUCACCAAUCGAGAAACUCUGCGCCGAUAAUAUCCGGGACUAAAGCAUAGAGCCGAAAUCGCGGGUUUAUUCUGUAUAAGAAUAAGCGGUAGGAGAGCGUAGUAUGCAGCGUCGAAGGCGUACCGUAAGGAGCGCUGGAGCGCAUACUAGUGAUAAUGCAUGGCAUGAGUAAACGAUAAAGGAGGUGAAAAUCCUCCUCGCCGAAAACCUAAGGUUUCCAGGGUAAAGCUCGUCUUCCCUGGGUUAGCCGGUCCCUAAGCCGAGGCUGAAAAGCGUAGGUGAUGGAAAGCAGGUUAAAUAUUCCUGCGCCGCCUAAAACUAUGAUGAAGGGUCGACGGAGUACGUCGAGCACGCGGACCAUUGGAUGUGUCCGUGGAACAAUGAGGCCGGUUGGUAGGCAAAUCCGCCAACAUAACGCCAGGUUGGGACUAAGGGGAAUCUUCGGAGGAACCGAUAGUGUAGCGCAAUGCUUCCAAGAAAUAGACUCUAAUCGUUGAUGGCGACCGUACCAAAACCGACACAGGUGGGUGGGAAGAAUAUUCUAAGGCGCGCGAGAGAACUCUUGUUAAGGAACUCGGCAAAUUAUCCUCGUAACUUCGGGAGAAGAGGAGCCACAAGUUGUGACAGCACUUGCUGCUUGAGCAUCAUGUGGCCGCAGAGAAAUGGCCCAGGCGACUGUUUAACAAAAACACAGCACUAUGCAAAGACGUCUAAGUCGAAGUAUAUGGUGUGAUGCCUGCCCAAUGCCAAAAGGUCAAAAGGAGAUGUUA
rnacentral:rRNA from 1 species